AGUGAACGCUGGCGGUAGGCCUAACACAUGCAAGUCGAACGGCAGCACAGUAAGAGCUUGCUCUUACGGGUGGCGAGUGGCGGACGGGUGAGGAAUACUUCGGAAUCUACUUUUUCGUGGGGGCUAACGUAGGGUAACUUACGCUAAUCACGCAUACGACCUCCGGGGGUAAGCCGGGGUUCUUUGGACCUUGCGCUAUUGAAUGAGCCGAUGUCGGAUGAGCUCGUUAGCGGGGCAAAGGCCCACCAAGGCGACGAUCCGUAGCUGGUCUGAGCGGAUGAUCCGACAGACUGGAACUGAGACUCAUUCGAGACUCCGACAGGAGGCAGCAGUGGGGAAUAUUGGACAAGGGACGCGAGCCUGAUCCUGCCAUACCGCGUAGGGGAAGAAGGACUUCGGGUUGUAAAGCCCUGAUGUUCGGAAAGAAAAGCAGCAGGUUAAUACCCCACUGUUCUGACGGUACCCAAAGAAUAAGCACCGGCUAACUUCGUG
rnacentral:rRNA from 1 species